rnacentral:lncRNA from 1 species
GGGAAAGACAUGAGAGUGCCUUUUGGAAAAGACUUUUUAAGUUGUUGUGCAAACAAAGGCUUUCAGAGAUUGCUCUAGACGUUACAGCAUUACAGAUGAGAACCAGAUGCAUCCAUAUAGCAUGAUGCAAGAUAAUGUGAGGAUGCAAGGAUUACCAUGGUCCUGUGCACUAAUUUGGUCACUGGGAAAGAGGCUUAACACAUCAGUUUGAACUGGUUUCCUGGAAAAAAACACGGUUUCCUCUCAUAGAACUUCC